rnacentral:rRNA from 1 species
GAUGAACGCUGGCGGCGUGCCUAAUACAUGCAAGUCGAGCGAACAGAUGAGGAGCUUGCUCCUCUGACGUUAGCGGCGGACGGGUGAGUAACACGUGGAUAACCUACCUAUAAGACUGGGAUAACUUCGGGAAACCGGAGCUAAUACCGGAUAAUAUAUUGAACCGCAUGGUUCAAUAGUGAAAGACGGUUUUGCUGUCACUUAUAGAUGGAUCCGCGCCGCAUUAGCUAGUUGGUAAGGUAACGGCUUACCAAGGCAACGAUGCGUAGCCGACCUGAGAGGGUGAUCGGCCACACUGGAACUGAGACCCGGUCCAGACUCCUACGGGGGGCAGCAGUAGGGAAUCUUCCGCAAGGGGCAAAAGCUUGACGGAGCAACGCCGCGUGAGUGAUGAAGGUCUUCGGAUCGUAAAACUCUGUUAUUAGGGAAGAACAAAUGUGUAAGUAACUAUGCCCGUCUUGACGGUACCAAAUCAAAAAGCCCCGGCUAACUACGU